GCCUUAGCUUAGUGGUAGAGCUUCUGCUUUGAAUGCAGAAGUUCCCAGGUUCAGUCCCAGGCAUUGCCA